GCUGAGGAUGUAGCUCAGUGGUUAAGUGCUUGCCUGGUAUGUAGGUGGCCCUGGGUUCAAUUACCAGCAAAGCA
rnacentral:tRNA from 1 species